rnacentral:rRNA from 1 species
AUACAUGCAAGUCGAGCGGACAGAAGGGAGCUUGCUCCCGGGAUGUUAGCGGCGGACGGGUGAGUAACACGUGGGUAACCUGCCUGUAAGACUGGGAUAACUCCGGGAAACCGGGAGCUAAUACCGGAUAGUUCCUUGAACCGCAUGGUUCAAGGAUGAAAGACGGUUUCGGCUGUCACUUACAGAUGGACCCGCGGCGCAUUAGCUAGUUGGUGGGGUAAUGGCUCACCAAGGCGACGAUGCGUAGCCGACCUGAGAGGGUGAUCGGCCACACUGGGACUGAGACACGGCCCAGACUCCUACGGGAGGCAGCAGUAGGGAAUCUUCCGCAAUGGACGAAAGUCUGACGGAGCAACGCCGCGUGAGUGAUGAAGGUUUUCGGAUCGUAAAGCUCUGUUGUUAGGGAAGAACAAGUGCGAGAGUAACUGCUCGCACCUUGACGGUACCUAACCAGAAAGCCACGGCUAACUACGUGCCAGCAGCCGCGGUAAUACGUAGGUGGCAAGCGUUGUCCGGAAUUAUUGGGCGUAAAGGGCUCGCAGGCGGUUUCUUAAGUCUGAUGUGAAAGCCCCCGGCUCAACCGGGGAGGGUCAUUGGAAACUGGGAAACUUGAGUGCAGAAGAGGAGAGUGGAAUUCCACGUGUAGCGGUGAAAUGCGUAGAGAUGUGGAGGAACACCAGUGGCGAAGGCGACUCUCUGGUCUGUAACUGACGCUGAGGAGCGAAAGCGUGGGGAGCGAACAGGAUUAGAUACCCUGGUAGUCCACGCCGUAAACGAUGAGUGCUAAGUGUUAGGGGGUUUCCGCCCCUUAGUGCUGCAGCUAACGCAUUAAGCACUCCGCCUGGGGAGUACGGUCGCAAGACUGAAACUCAAAGGAAUUGACGGGGGCCCGCACAAGCGGUGGAGCAUGUGGUUUAAUUCGAAGCAACGCGAAGAACCUUACCAGGUCUUGACAUCCUCUGACAACCCUAGAGAUAGGGCUUUCCCUUCGGGGACAGAGUGACAGGUGGUGCAUGGUUGUCGUCAGCUCGUGUCGUGAGAUGUUGGGUUAAGUCCCGCAACGAGCGCAACCCUUGAUCUUAGUUGCCAGCAUUUAGUUGGGCACUCUAAGGUGACUGCCGGUGACAAACCGGAGGAAGGUGGGGAUGACGUCAAAUCAUCAUGCCCCUUAUGACCUGGGCUACACACGUGCUACAAUGGACAGAACAAAGGGCUGCAAGACCGCAAGGUUUAGCCAAUCCCAUAAAUCUGUUCUCAGUUCGGAUCGCAGUCUGCAACUCGACUGCGUGAAGCUGGAAUCGCUAGUAAUCGCGGAUCAGCAUGCCGCGGUGAAUACGUUCCCGGGCCUUGUACACACCGCCCGUCACACCACGAGAGUUUGCAACACCCGAAGUCGGUGAGGUAACCUUUAUGGAGCCAGCCGCCGAAAGUGGGGCA